GUUCUAUGACAUCACCGCCAAUUAUAUAUGCUUUUAAAAUUCCACGCAGGUACCAAGUCGAUUUUAUUUGCUGUGCGUUGCACCUAGGGGAUCCCGAGUGAACAAUCACUCAUGAAUAAAUCACUGGUAACCGACAACGUGCUAUUCUACUACCAAGAUCAAAAAGGCAUAAGCCCAGAAGUGCUAAGGGCAGGAAAGGACACAGCGGUCCCAAACUGGACAGAGCCUAAUCAGAUGAAGACACAGACAAGGCCAUACCCUGGAGGCCAAUGAAGGGAGAAAGGAAGUGAGCCCACCUGCCCACCUUCCCCAACAACAGCUCAGGAACAGAAGGAGGCAUAUAGAGUUUCAAACCUGCUACUUAGACAACCAACCUACUGCUCAUACGACAGUAGAAAAUCCAGUGACUGGGACAUAACUGUUAUUUUGACAAGAUCAUCAUAUUGGCCAACUUGGAGGUACAGAAACACAAGAGCCUAGGAUGUUGGUCAGCGGUCAAACCUGCCCUGAAGUGCCAAUCUGGAAUUCUUGUUACGGGAGACAAAUAACAUCCUAUUUGUUUAAACCACCGUAGUUGGGCUUUCUGUUACCUGGUGUGAAACUUAUUUCCAACUGGUACAACAACUGAAUGGUACCCUGUACCUAAAGAUCCUGGAAUGUGGUAAGCAUAUAAUAAAUCUUUAACUUUCUUCCUCCUUUCUUUAAAACUUUUGCUCAUACAUCUAAUAAAUACUUACAGAGCACCUACCACCUACGCGGCGGUGUAGGAGGUUGACGAUCCAAUGGGGAGUCAAAGCAGACAAGGAACCCCCCUUCCCACUGAAGCUCUAUUCUACAAGGGAGAGAGACAUUGACCCGACCGCGCAGGUUAAUGAAUUCGGGGUUAGAAAACCGUUUGUGGGGUCAGGGUGCUCAGCUGUCUAGAGUCACGGACAAGC